rnacentral:rRNA from 1 species
UGAACCUGCGGAAGGAUCAUUACCGAGUUUUCGAGCUCCGGCUCGACUCUCCCACCCUUUGUGAACGUACCUCUGUUGCUUUGGCGGCUCCGGCCGCCAAAGGACCUUCAAACUCCAGUCAGUAAACGCAGACGUCUGAUAAACAAGUUAAUAAACUAAAACUUUCAACAACGGAUCUCUUGGUUCUGGCAUCGAUGAAGAACGCAGCGAAAUGCGAUAAGUAAUGUGAAUUGCAGAAUUCAGUGAAUCAUCGAAUCUUUGAACGCACAUUGCGCCCCUUGGUAUUCCGGGGGGCAUGCCUGUUCGAGCGUCAUUACAACCCUCAAGCUCUGCUUGGAAUUGGGCACCGUCCUCACUGCGGACGCGCCUCAAAGACCUCGGCGGUGGCUGUUCAGCCCUCAAGCGUAGUAGAAUACACCUCGCUUUGGAGCGGUUGGCGUCGCCCGCCGGACGAACCUUCUGAACUUUUCUCAAGGUUGACCUCGGAUCAGGUAGGGAUACCCGCUGAACUUAAGCAUAUCA